rnacentral:rRNA from 1 species
AGGGAAUCUUCCACAAUGGACGAAAGUCUGAUGGAGCAACGCCGCGUGCAGGAUGAAUGCCUUCGGGUUGUAAACUGCUUUUAUAAGUGAGGAAUUUGACAGUAACUUAUGAAUAAGGAUCGGCUAACUCCGUGCCAGCAGCCGCGGUCAUACGGAGGAUCCAAGCGUUAUUCGGAAUUACUGGGCGUAAAGAGUUGCGUAGGCGGCUUUAUAAGCGUGUGAUGAAAUCUUGUGGCUCAACCAUGAGACUAUUACGCGAACUGUAAAGCUAGAAUAUAUGAGGGGUACCUAGAAUUCCCGGUGUAGGAGUGGAAUCCGUAGAUAUCGGGAGGAAUACCAAUGGCGUAGGC